CAAUGCCAACAGCAGCAAUAGGCUCAAAGUCAGGUUUGUCAAGCUCAAAAUAGUUGGGGUUUGGAAUCUGCUGAGGCUUCCAAAUACCCUUGUAAUUAGGGUUGUCAAUAUGUGGAGCAUGCCAUUUGCCCUUGUAGGCAGGAUUCCUCUUCAUUGGCCUCUUCCACUCGCCGCAUCCAGGGGCUGCUUCACACUUUGGGUUAUCAAUCUUUGGGGCCUCCCAUUCACCAUCCUCCUCAUCAUCCCAAUCCUCAGGUUUUGUGGCCUCAGGGUCAUCUAUCUCCUCAGGGUCAUCAUCCAGCCAUCCUUCAGGUUUCACAGCAUCCUCAUCUUCAAUUUCCAUGGGAGCAUCCUCAUCCCAGUCUUCAGGUUUUACUGCAUCAGGGUCAGGAAUCUUUGCCCUCUCAUCCCAAUCCUCAGGCUUCUUGUCAUCUGGAUCAGGAAUUGUCUUCUCAGGAAUGAGCGGUGGCUGAAAAUCAUCAGCAGCGAGGAAAUUUGCCUUCUGCUUCUCCUCUCCAUCAAUUAAAAUUCUCAACUCAUUAUCAGGUUUCAAGAUGGCAGUGUAUACAUGAGUCAGUUUAUCAGAGGGCACAGAAGGUGGGUUCUUGAGAUGGUGUUCAAUGUACUCUCCACUCUUGGGAUUCUUAUGCUUUAAGAUGAAGUGCACCUUGUUUGUUGCACCACAUUUAUCAGGUCCAAACAUAAUCAUAUACGGAGAUUCAUUGUCGAACUCCUUGGAUACCCAACCUGCCUCCUGAGGCCGCAGGUAUUUCAGAUAUGCACCACCACAUUCAAGACCAUUCUGGAGGCGAACCUCAUACUGGAGGACAACAGUUCCAUCCUUCAAACUCAGGGGCUCAUCAAGCUCCUUCACUAUCGCGUACUUCUUUGCCGGCUCACCAACAAGAAGGCCAU
rnacentral:lncRNA from 1 species